AGAGUUUGAUCAUGGCUCAGAUUGAACGCUAGCGGCAGGCCUAACACAUGCAAGUCGAGCGGCAACAGAAAUAAGCUAAGCUUAUUUGCUGGCGAGCGGCGGACGGGUGAGUAAUAUCUGGGGAUCUGCCUUAUGGAGGGGGAUAACUAUUGGAAACGAUAGCUAAUACCGCAUAAUAAUCAUAAGAUUAAAGUGGGGGACCUUAUCAGGCCUCACGCCAUAAGAUGAACCCAGAUGGGAUUAGCUAGUAGGUGAGGUAAUGGCUCACCUAGGCUACGAUCCCUAGCUGGUCUGAGAGGAUAAACAGCCACACUGGAACUGAGACACGGUCCAGACUCUUACGGGAGGCAGCAGUGGGGAAUAUUGCACAAUGGGGGAAACCCUGAUGCAGCUAUGCCGCGUGUGUGAAGAAGGCCUUAGGGUUGUAAAGCACUUUCAGCAAGGAAGAAAGUUAUUAUGUUAAUAACAUUAUAAUUUGACGUUACUUGCAUAAGAAGCACCGGCUAACUCCGUGCCAGCAGCCGCGGUAAUACGGAGGGUGCAAGCGUUAAUCGGAAUUAUUGGGCGUAAAGCGUACGCAGGCGGUUUAUUAAGUCAAUUGUGAAAUCCCUAGGCUUAACCUAGGAACUGCAUUUGAAACUGGUAGACUAGAGUAUCGUAGAGGGGGGUAGAAUUCUAGGUGUAGCGGUGAAAUGCGUAGAUAUCUGGAAGAAUACCAGUGGCGAAGGCGGCCCCCUGGACGAAUACUGACGCUCAGGUACGAAAGCAUGGGGAGCAAACAGGAUUAGAUACCCUGGUAGUCCAUGCUGUAAACUAUGUCGAUUUGAAGGUUGUGGCCUUAGGCUGUAACUUUCGUAGCUAACGCGUUAAAUCGACCGCCUGGGAAGUACGGCCGCAAGGUUGAAACUCAAAUGAAUUGACGGGGGCCCGCACAAGCGGUGGAGCAUGUGGUUUAAUUCGAUGCAACGCGAAGAACCUUACCUACUCUUGACAUCCAGAGUACUUAACAGAAAUGUUUUGGUGCCUUUUGGGGAACUCUGAGACAGGUGCUGCAUGGCUGUCGUCAGCUCGUGUUGUGAAAUGUUGGGUUAAGUCCCGCAACGAGCGUAACCCUUAUCAUUUGUUGCCAACGAUUAGGUCGGGAACUCAAAUGAGACUGCCAGUGAUAAAUUGGAGGAAGGUGGGGAUGACGUCAAGUCAUCAUGGCCCUUACGAGUAGGGCUACACACGUGCUACAAUGGCAUAUACAAAGAGAAGCGAUCUUGCAAAAGUCAGCGGAUCUCAUAAAAUAUGUCGUAAUCCGGAUUAGAGUCUGCAACUCGACUCUAUGAAGUCGGAAUCGCUAGUAAUCGUGGAUCAGAAUGCCACGGUGAAUACGUUCCCGGGCCUUGUACACACCGCCCGUCACACCAUGGGAGUGGGUUGCAAAAGAAGUAAGUAGCUUAACCCUUAAAAAGGGAGAGCGCUUACCACUUUGUGAUUCAUAACUGGGGUGAAGUCGUAACAAGGUAACCGUAGGGGAACCUGUGGUUGGAUCACCU
rnacentral:rRNA from 1 species